GUUUGUUUCUGAGACCGAAUACACCUGAUCUCGUCUGAUCUCGAAAGCUAAGCAGAGUCGGGCCUGAUUAGUACUUGGAUGGGAGACUACCUGGGAAUACCAGGUGCUGUAAGCU
rnacentral:rRNA from 1 species